UUUACAGCGAGAAGCUCUGAACUCCACAUGCACUCUGAUGCUGCUGCAACAAGAUUUGCGUGACCAAGAUGGUAGCGGCCGCAUUACAGCGGAGGGUGAAAUUGCAACACUUGAGUCUGCAGCAGCACAAACAGAAGGUAGAAGGAGGAUUUCAGC